ACGAACGCUGGCGGCGUGCCUAAUACAUGCAAGUAGAACGCUGAAGGAGGAGCUUGCUUCUCUGGAUGAGUUGCGAACGGGUGAGUAACGCGUAGGUAACCUGCCUGGUAGCGGGGGAUAACUAUUGGAAACGAUAGCUAAUACCGCAUAAUAGUAGAUGUUGCAUGACAUUUGCUUAAAAGGUGCAAUUGCAUCACUACCAGAUGGACCUGCGUUGUAUUAGCUAGUUGGUGGGGUAACGGCUCACCAAGGCGACGAUACAUAGCCGACCUGAGAGGGUGAUCGGCCACACUGGGACUGAGACACGGCCCARACUCCUACGGGAGGCAGCAGUAGGGAAUCUUCGACAAUGGACGGAAGUCUGACCGAGCAACGCCGCGUGAGUGAAGAAGGUUUUCGGAUCGUAAAGCUCUGUUGUAAGAGAAGAACGGGUGUGAGAGUGGAAAG
rnacentral:rRNA from 1 species